ACCAAAGUGCCAAACAGCGCUGAUAAUAAACAUCGAUAUAGGAUACUUAUAUAGUGUAACGAACCUGGGUUUAUAAGCACGGAUAUCUACCCUGCAGCUCGGGCUUGUUUUGGGGCACAGUCGAUAGCACGCUGGACUUCGGGCUAGAAGGUCGAGGGUUCGAGACCUGCUCCCUGCCUGUUUCAUUACAAUAUAUUGAACACCUACCCACUACUGAUAUUAACUUUAAACAAUUUAUAGUCAAGCAACAUUUCACCAAUUAUUUAGCUGGCAAAUCGCCUGUUGACUGGUCAAGUAACCUCUUCGGCCAGGAAGUCCUUCAUAAGGAUUAGUCUGACAGGAGCCUCUGACUGGAUGUACAGUUAUACAGCCACCAUCCGCUGGGAUUUUGUGCUGUAUCGCUACAAUCUCUCUACAACACACACUCAUACUCUAGCCAUUACCAGUUUGUGUUAGCUACGCCAACCCUCUAGCUGAGCUGUUUCAGGCGGCAUGGCUGUGUUGUUACUGCUACUAGAAAUAACUAUUUCAUCUGGGGGCAACGAUAGGCUCAAACAUGAACGGUUUCAGUUGGUUUAUUGGCUCCCUAACUAACAAUUAUUUCCUUCUCUGUAAUAAACUAAUUCUCAGACUUGGCGCUACUCAGUAAAUUCAGCCAUUUUGGGGAGUUCCAAAAUGUUCUCGCCUGCCAGUGACAGCAAUGCCAAUAUGGCCAUUUACAGUUAGAGUUAGCUGGCUUCUAAAUCCGUGUUUCCAUUCACCUUUAUAUAAGAGGUGGUUCCCCUACAAACGCCUGAUCAUCUUAGUUUAGCAUGCCAUUGCUGCCAAGCUAGCUGCGUAGAACCAUGUCGUCGCAUUCAGUGCAUACAGUGCAGUACAGCACUUCCUUUGUCAUGCAGUUAUUUAUGACAAAUAUGGACAUGUGUCAGUUUGUCACUUUCAUGGUCAUGUAGUGAAGAUCUAUUCAGCUACUGCAGAAACUGUCUUGAAGAUAGCUAAUGUUUUGCGAUUUAGAGAAAACGUGCCAACAAGGGACGACGAGUUUGUCACUUUCCCCAUUGACAAGCAGUUUGCCCAAAUCCUGCCCUGCUCUGCUAAACAUCAUGUAAACGGCCGUCACAGAACGUUCCUGUCAGAAACCCUGCCUGUUUUAACGUCAUUUACCGUAGAUAUACAGAUGAAAGACCGCCCUCCUCACAAGCGGUGGUAUUAUUAAAGCAGGGUGUGCCGUUGAAACAGUCUGAUUUGAGAACAGGGGCUAGAUAAGCAAGUAGAUACUCUGUGUGCCCAGCAUCAUUUUAACAGCUUGUUUUGCUCUUUGAUUCUGUUCACAAUGGCACAGGUCAACAGAUGUCUGAAACAGCUGUUCUUUGGAUUCAACAUGUUGUCAGGGAUUGCAGGGUGUGUCCUAUUGGUUUUGGCAGUGAUCGCAGCACCAUAUAAUACAGAGCAUGACCAAGGAGAGUCAAUUGGCUUGACAUGGAUUAUAUCGACUGCAGUUGUUUCUGUGCUGCUCUCUUUACUUGGAGCAUAUGGUGCAUACAAAGAGAACAUUGUGAUACUGCGAGUGUUCCUUGGAAUAAUAGGCUUUGGAACAAUCUUCUUUCUUAUUGUUGGAUUUCAAAUGGCUCGUUCAAUGCCUGAGGCCAUGCAACUGAUUAAAGAAAACCUCCCUGCAAUUACAUCAGAAAUGAUGGCUGAUGCGAGCACCGACAAACUAUCAUGGCUCUACAAGUACAAGGUAAGUGUUGUGGAAUAAUGAGUUACAGAGACUGGGAUAGCAAGAUUCCAGAGACCUGUAAAUGUUCUAGUUUCAAGUCAGACCCGUCCCAAUGUAUGGAGGUGCAAACGACUAAAGAUGGCGGCAACUGGGGAAGAUCUGACAAAUCUGAAAUGAUGUGGAUCUACAGAGAGCCCUGUGGUCCUCUCAUCUUGAAGAACUUCGACUCUGCUUUUAAGACCGGACUUGGAUUCUUCUUGGGAUUUGGUGUUUAUUCUUUGAUUGGGCUAGUGUUAUCCGGCAUGAUGAUUCGUCAGAUCAAGAAGGUGCAGUCUACUGAAGUUCCUGAGACUAUAGACGAUGGAUAUCGUUUCACACCUUAAUUCCAGGCAAUUCGCCAUGUGGAGGGAGUUGUGGGAGUUGUGGGAGUUUAACCGACGACCUUACACCCAUAACCAGGGAUGAGGUCAGAGUUUCAGUUUUGGCAUCCUGGCAAGAGGCGAGGAGUAGAAGGUGCUCGAACAACGUGAGACGAGGUGCAACCAAAAAAAAGAAUAUGAGCGUUCGGAAUGAAAAGGCCCAACUCACUGCUCACCGUUCAUUUCAUUUGUGUAUAACCUUUUCUUUUUUAUCAUAAUAAAGUUUCGUCUGUCCAUGGCUUUUC
rnacentral:lncRNA from 1 species